rnacentral:lncRNA from 1 species
UCUACACAUGGCAAAUAAGCUCAUGAAAAGAUGCCCAACUUUAUUAGUCAUCAGGGAAAUGCAAAUGAAAAUCAUAAGGGAUACCAUUUCACACCUACUAAGAUAACUUUUUUUUUUUUUAAGGAUAACAACAUGGAGAGGAUGUGGAAAAAUUGGAGCCCUCGUGUAUUGCUGGUGGGAAUGUAAAAUGGGGCAGAUGCCUUGGAAAACAGUUUGAAAGUUCCUGAGAAAGUUAAACAUAGAAUUACCAUAGGACACAACCAUCCCACAUCCUGGGUGUGCGCCCAAAGAGAACUGAAAACCUAUGUCUGUAUGGAAACUUGUAUGUGAAUGUUAAUAGAAGCAUCAUUUAUAAUAUUCAAGAAGUGAAAACAGCCCAAACAUCUAUCAACUGCUGGAUGGAUAAAUGAAACAUGGGAGGCGCACGCAAUGCAACAUUACUUGACCAUCAAAAGGAGUGAAGGGCCGGUGCUCGCCACCAUGUGGAGAAACCUUGGCAACGUGCCAGGUGAAAGAAACCAGAGACAAAGGCCUCAUCCUGUGUGGUUCCGUCUACACACAAUGUCCAGAACAGGCAAAUCUGUAGACACAAGUCAGUUUGGGAGAGGGCAAUGAAGAGUGACUGAUCUGGGUGCAGGGCUUCUUUUUAGAUUGAUGAAUUGUUCUGGAAUUACAUAGUGGUGGCAGCUAAACUCGUGAAUAUCCUAAAAACAACUGAAUUGCAUUUUAAACAGCAUGUGAAUUAUAUCUUUAAAAAAUGCACAGGCACACUAGAACAAAGGAAGAACAUGAACAUGUUAUAAGCAGCCGUUCCUAGGUGAAGGGAUUAUGGGUAAGAGUUUCCUCCUCUUUGUACCUUUUCCCUGAAUUUCAAAUUUUCUGGAGUUAGCAUAUAUUAUUUUAUCAGAACAUAACUUAAAAAAAAUUUUUUAAUGUUUAUUCAUUUUUUGAUAGAGACAGAGCGUGAGUGGGGGAGGGGCAGAGAGAGAGGGAGACACAGAAUCCAAAGCAGGUUCCAGGCUCUGAACUGACAGCACAGAGCCCAACGUGGGGCUCAAACUCACAGACUGUGAGAUCAUGACCUGAGCUGAAGUCGGACGCCUAACCGACUGAGCCACCCAGGCGCCCCUUGGAAAAUAACUUUAAAGCAGCAAAUGGGUACAGCCCAGAGUCAGUGCUGAGGGAUUUGGCACAGAGAAGAGAAACAUAGAGGAAGUGAGCGUGGCCCUGGGAUUACCGACUCGAAUUCCUUUCUGUGUUUCUGGACUCGAGUGAAAUCCUCAAGGUAUUGGGUUAAUUUUCUGUACUGCGUUUAAAGCCCCCCCCCAGCAAAGCCCGAGGGCUCAUGAACGCCUGAGUCACUUCUCUUCCCCAGCUCUUGUCACCCCUUUUUUUCCCCUUGCAGAUAAAACCUGAAACUGGGGUGCCUGGGUGGUUCAGCAGGCUAAGCGUCCAACUCUUGGUUUCGGCUCAGGUCAUGAUCUCAGGGUUCGUGUGCAGAACCUGCUUGGGAUUCUCUCCUCCUCCUCUUUCUGCCCCUCCCUGCUUGCGUUCUUGCUCUCUGUCAAAAAUGAGUAAGUAAAUAAAUAAAUGAAACAAAACCUGAGAGCGAGCUCAGACAAAACAGCUUGUGGUCGCAAGUACAAUGUGGGGCUUUGAAAAGCCUGUAUCACAAGCAGUGGCAUGUUUACAGAACAGCCUCUGUUCACUUUUGUUUCCGGAUGGAAAAGAAGGCGCCCAGGUCUCAGUUUUCCUUAGACCGAGAUGACUUCCUAAUCCCUCGCCUAGGCAGUCUCUCGUUUUUCUACCUCAUUGACCCAGUUCGCGAUAAUAAACACAUUACAACCCUCUGCGUACAGCGCUUUGCUAUUGAAAACUAAUGGUUUUUAUAAUGGUGGUUUACAGUUUAAAAUGCCAUUUUCACAAACAUUAUCAUAUUUGAUCCCCACCAUGAUCCUGCGUUGGAUGUAGUUGUCCCUAUUUGCAGGCAAGUCAGCGGAGGGCCAGAGGGCACACAAAACGGGGAUGGAGAGAGAGGACCGCGGUCUCAGGGGGAGACAGGUGUGUCCCAGAAACGCCACUGCCACCUGAGCUUGGUACCGUCCUCCUCUCCCUUCGGGGUCAAGGCCUGAACUCCAAUCGCUGUCUCCCCAGUGCUCCUGUGGACCUUUUCCUGGCCUCAUGUCCCCCCUGAAGGGGCCUGAACCCCGAACGCGGAAAUGCUGGCCUUGGGGUGGGGUGAGCCCGGAGGGCGGGAGGGGGCAGGCGCCAAGGGGCCCUCUGUCCUCCGCAGCUCUCGGCCACCUCUAGAGUCACCCUGGAGAAGCACAGUGUUCAGGGGAGCGGAUGCAUCCACAUUUGGGUUGCUUGUUUUCUAUUUGUUUUAUUUAUUUUUAGGUGCAAAAGGUGAUUUUAUUAAAGCACAGGGAGGACCCUGGGCAGGAAGAGCUGCCUUUUUUUCUAUUUUUAAGGUGCAGUCCUUCCAGAGACCUCAGUGGAAAAGCAGUGGGACCGG